CUGGAUAUGAUGCAUCAUUCAUAAAUACCUGAUUGUAUGUGAAGGUGUUUGUAUUCAUACUGUCUGAUCCAA
rnacentral:snoRNA from 1 species